rnacentral:rRNA from 1 species
GUUGAACGCUGGCGGCAUGCCUUACACAUGCAAGUCGAACGGCAGCACGGGUGCUUGCACCUGGUGGCGAGUGGCGAACGGGUGAGUAAUACAUCGGAACGUACCGUGUAGUGGGGGAUAACGUAGCGAAAGUUACGCUAAUACCGCAUACGCACUGAGGUGGAAAGCAGGGGAUCGUAAGACCUUGCGCUAUACGAGCGGCCGAUGUCAGAUUAGCUAGUUGGUAGGGUAAGGCCUACCAAGGCGACGAUCUGUAGCGGGUCUGAGAGGAUGAUCCGCCACACUGGGACUGAGACACGGCCCAGACUCCUACGGGAGGCAGCAGUGGGGAAUUUUGGACAAUGGGGGCAACCCUGAUCCAGCCAUGCCGCGUGAGUGAAGAAGGCCUUCGGGUUGUAAAGCUCUUUCGGCCGGGAAGAAAUCGCACAGGCUAAUACCCUGUGUGGAUGACGGUACCGGCAUAAGAAGCACCGGCUAACUACGUGCCAGCCGCCGCCGUAA